CUGAUGUUCCCUGGUUCAAUUGCUCACCUACUGUACAGUUGAGUGAACACUUAAGGAAGUUGCAAAGCAAUGCAGCCUGUCUGGGACAUGAAGGAAUGUAGAGCGGGAUAAUCACAACAUCAUCAACCCAAUUCUCCAAGGCUUUGAGUUGUUUUGCUACUGCUGAUUAUCUGGGAAGGAAUCAAGACUGGUAUUCAUAGAAGAGUACCACCAAAAUCAGAACGGUGAAGCCAUUGUUUGCUGUAGAAUACCAGCAGAGCUAUCUGCAAAAAGAGUAAUGACUUACAGCUGGAUGGCUAAAUAAAGUCCUAAUAAUUUCCUGUAAAAUGUAUAGGAUUUAUAAAAGGGAGCUGAAGGAAGAUGAGGUCCAAAUAAUUCCUAACUUUGCAUUGACACAAAGGAUUUCUUGAGCUGUCAGCACGUUCCUCUGAUUUGUGUCUUUUUCUACAGUUAGGAAGUCCAGGGUGCCAUUGGCAUCCCCACUCUUCUGAGUGAAGAAAGAAAGGAGAAUACAGUUUCUAUGCAAAGAAUUCAACAUCUUUUGAUGUAGUGACAUUUUUGGAAAUAUCUUAGGCGAGUGUGCUUGAAGCAAGGGCUCUUUGCAACUGCACGACUACAAACACAUUAUCCCAUACUGGUAUCAUGUAAAGUAGUAGAGAUGCCCCCCUUAGUUGUGUAGCAUCACCCCAGAUCCAUAAUCUGAACCAGGGAAUCAUUAUCAAGGAAUGGCAUAAAAAAGCCUAAGAAAAGGCCACAUUCCAUGAUCUUCCUCUAUAUGAAAUAAAAUGAUUUUGGAAUAAGAACAAA